rnacentral:tRNA from 1 species
AGGAUAAUAGUUAAUUAUAACAUUUAAUUUGCAUUUAAAAGUAAUUGGUAUACCAAUUUAUCUUA